rnacentral:rRNA from 1 species
GACGAACGCUGGCGGCGUGCUUAACACAUGCAAGUCGAACGGAAAGGCCCUGCUUUUGUGGGGUGCUCGAAUGGCGAACGGGUGGGUAACAAGUGUGUAACCUACUCUUGACUUUGGGGUAACUUCAGGAAACUGGGGCUAAUACCGGCUAGGAACUUCUCCUGCAUGGAGGGGGUUGGAAAGGUUCGGCGGGUGGGGAGGGACUCGCGGCUAAUCAGUUUGUUGGGGGGGUGGUGGCUGACCACGGCGUUGAGGGGUCGACGGCCUUAGAGGGUGACCGGCCACAAUGGGACUGAGAGACGGCCCAGAGUCCUACGGGAGGCAGUAGGGGGGAAUAUUGCACAAUGGGCGGAAGCCUGAUGCAGCAACGCCGCGUUCGGAAUGACGGCCUUCGGGUGGUAAACCGCGUUCGCCUGUGACGAAGCCUGAUUGACGGUAAUGGGUAAAGAAGCACCGGCUAACUACGUG